AGCAAACGGUGCUACCAACAUUUAAAACAAGUAUAUUUAACAGUAUUCUUGUUGACUUUGGUUCAUUGUUUUUUAACACAAACGAACCCCCGUCGCAAAAGUAAGAGAUUUAUUUAUUAGUUCACACAAAUACCUGCACUCAACGCAAGUGAUACGCACAAGUUUACUCAGUAUAAGGAUAUUUUAUUUAUCAAAGUGUGUGCAGUUAUAUAAAGAGUAGAUAAGGAGCAGGAUCUAUGGAUAUGGUUAGUAAUAAUAGGAAAUUUGCCAACACACUUCACUAGCGCAGUACAUGCUUUACGAUCUACGCGACUCACAAAGACAGGAGAAUAUAGGAAAUACCUACAAGUUUUGGCACUGUAUGCUACCGCUGGGUGAAGCGAAGCGACGAAAAGUUCUUUUUGACAUUCGUCGUUCGACAUACAUUCCGUGCUUCCGUAACGGGCUUGACGCAGCUUCUCGUCUUUCAAAUCGAUACCGAGCGCCGACGGACUGUACUUUGCUGCAAAUUUAAGCUAUGAACUAAUUUCUCUUGAAAGAGCGUAUAUGAAGCGGUUCCCAUUAUCCUUUUGCACACGGAAGCACAAAAAACCGCACUCAUUCGACCAUUCGGCUCCGAACACAACGAUAGAAACGAACGUGAAUUAAAUACUCUCGACACCCGAUCAUUCCUUACAUCAUCAACCAUCGCCAUCCUGUCGCGUGUCGUGUCCCACCUGCUGCCAUUCCUUCAUUUUUCUCCCGCCGCGCUCCGCUAGUAUGACCCUCACGGUGUCGGAAACGGACAGCAAUAGUCUAAGGAACCCGGACAUGACCGAAACUCUACCAAGCUCUGAACUAUCCCUACUAGCCAAACUGGAGGCCGCCAACAAGCUGAUCGAGAGUGACUCGAAGAGUCUCAACUCGCUCCAGAGUUCGGCCCACAGCCGAAAGAGCUCCGACACGAGCCAGAUCAGUUUAAAUUCGGGCGCCUCCUCGGUCGGUGAAGAGGAUGUUUGGUCCACCUGGGCCAGCAUCGUCACCGACUGGGAGGCGAGCCAGAAGCGCAAAGGACCGACGGUAAAGGAGCUGGUACGCAAGGGCAUACCACACCACUUCCGGGCGAUCGUAUGGCAGCUGCUGUGUGGGGCUUCCGACGCGGAUAAGAAGCAGUAUGCCGAGUACAUUAAGGCGACGAGUGCGUGCGAGAAGGUGAUACGUCGUGAUAUUGCCCGCACAUACCCGGAGCAUGACUUUUUCAAGGAGAAGGAUGGACUGGGCCAGGAGGCACUGUUUAAUGUGAUGAAGGCGUACUCAUUGCACGAUCGUGAAGUUGGCUACUGUCAGGGAUCUGGUUUUAUUGUUGGACUGCUGCUUAUGCAGAUGCCCGAGGAGGAAGCGUUUGCCGUUCUUGUGCAAAUUAUGCAACAGUAUCGCAUGCGCGACAUGUUCAAACCCUCCAUGGCGGAGCUCGGGCUGUGUAUGUACCAGCUGGAGAAUAUCGUGCAGGAGCAAAUACCGGAGCUACAUCUACAUUUUCAAUCGCAAAGCUUCCAAACGUCUAUGUACGCAUCGAGCUGGUUCCUGACGCUGUACACUACCGCGCUGAAUCUAACGCUCAGCUGUCGGAUAAUGGAUGUGUUUCUGUCGGAAGGAAUGGAGUUUAUUUUCAAGGUUGCGAUUGCACUUCUUACGAUUGGCAAGGACACGUUGCUUUCGUUAGACAUGGAAGCAAUGCUUAAGUACUUCCAGAAAGAGCUUCCGCAAAAAGUCGAAAACGAUGCGGAUGGACUAUUUAAUUUGGCCUUCCAGGUGAAGAUCAAUACGAAAAAGAUGAAAAAGAUGGAGAAAGAAUAUGCUGAUCUGCGUAAGAAGGAACAGGAGGAAAUGGUGGAACUAAGGCGGCUACGGAGCGAAAAUCGUUUGCUAAAAAAGCGAAACGAACUACUCGAGGCAGAAAGUGCAGAACUGGCUGAUCGGCUCGUUCGGGGACAGGUUUCCCGCGCUGAAGAAGAAGAAACUAGCUACGCUAUUCAGUCCGAACUGCUGGCACUCCGGCGGGCACAUCUAGAAGUAUCACAUCAGCUAGAAAACGCUAAUGAAGAGGUGCGAGCGCUAAGUUUGCGACUGCAGGAAAACAAUCCGGACAAUUCGCUCGAAUCCAACAACUCUCGGCAGAACUCGUUCGAUGAGUUGAUUAUGAAGGAAGAAGCACUAAAACAACGAGACGAAAUGGUUUCAUGCCUGCUCGAAGAACUGGUCAAGGUGCGACAGGGUCUCGCUGAAAGUGAAGAUGUGAUUCGUAACCUAAAGACUAAGAUCCAAGAACUGGAAGAGGAUAAAAAACGACUGCGCGAAACCACCACAGACAACUCGGUAGCACAUCUUCAGGACGAGCUGAUUGCAAGCAAAUUGCGCGAAGCAGAGGCAAGCUUAUCGCUCAAGGAUCUGAAGCAACGCGUGCAGGAACUGAGUACUCAAUGGCAGCGGCAACUUUCCGAGCAGCGCAACGAUCCGGCCCAGAGCAAUGACUCCGGCGCAAAGAAGUUGCUGUUCUGGGAGUCGGGUCGUUCGCAAGAUUUACAAAAGCUCGAGGAGGAACUCAUGACCACUCGUAUACGGGAGAUGGAAACGUUAACCGAAUUGAAAGAGCUUCGGUUGAAGGUGAUGGAGCUGGAAACACAGGUACAGGUUUCGACGAAUCAACUUCGGCGGCAGGACGAAGAGAGCAAGAAAGUGAAAGAAGAUCUAGAAGAAGCCCUGGUUCGGGAACGUGAGCUGGCGAACAAAGCACGCGAACAGCAGCACCGUUACUCCGAUCUCGAAUCUCGCAUGAAGGACGAGCUAAUGAAUGUGAAGAUUAAAUUUACCGAGCAAAGUCAAACGGUGGCGGAGCUGAAGCAAGAAAUUUCAAGACUGGAAACAAAGAACUCGGAAAUGUUGGCCGAGGGAGAGCUGCGAUCUAAUCUGGACGAAUCAGACCGCGUCCGAGAUCUACAGGACAAGGUCGCCGAGCUAAAAGCUGAGCUGGGCACAGUAAUGGUUAUUGAAGACAUUUCCAGAAACAGAUAAGUGUAAUAAACCAUUCCCAGGAAGAAGGACGUCGGUAAGGAACACUACUUACAGCACAAAUCAAAUCAGCACAGCGCAUUUUGCUAAUGGCUUCCAGAAGCGCGUUACCCGUAACGGAAUUGGAAAUCUGGAGAAAUUGAUUUCCAACGAAAGAAGUCGCAGACAACACUAAAUUAUAGUACUUAUAAACCAUACUCAUUGGAGCAUAUUCGUACCAACCAUAAACGAUCAUCGUAGAUGUAGACGUGUUUGUGUUGACUAGAGAUAAUUGGAUGCCAAAUGUGAAUGUUUGCGAGACCACUGAAGAAUACGAGUAAUCAUCUGCACCACCACUCCGGGGAAAUUAAAUUUCAACCAUCAAAAUCCAAGAAUAUCCGAGACAGAUCUGAAGCACGAAACAGCUCAUCUUGGGAACACGGUUUUAUAGUCUUGCCGUUGUAAAACCGCUUCAAAGGAGGAAAACCAUUUAAGCUGCAACGAGUUCACCAAUCAAGAAGGGUAAACGAAAUUGGAUUGAAGGCGUUGUAAAAUUGAACAGCUGACUGCCAUCAAAAGCCGUGGAACGGCGUUGAACCUGCGGAAGAUCAAGAGCACAUCGAUACAGUCGAUAGAUUCGAAUGAGAUCGAUUUUGCCGAGAUACAGCUUUCGUC